UGAGGAAUAUUGGUCAAUGGACGAGAGUCUGAACCAGCCAAGUAGCGUGAAGGAUGACUGCCCUAUGGGUUGUAAACUUCUUUUAUAUGGGAAUAAAGUGGUCCACGUGUGGAUUUUUGUAUGUACCAUAUGAAUAAGGAUCGGCUAACUCCGUGCCAGCAGCCGCGGUAAUACGGAGGAUCCGAGCGUUAUCCGGAUUUAUUGGGUUUAAAGGGAGCGUAGGUGGACAGUUAAGUCAGUUGUGAAAGUUUGCGGCUCAACCGUAAAAUUGCAGUUGAUACUGGCUGUCUUGAGUACAGUAGAGGUGGGCGGAAUUCGUGGUGUAGCGGUGAAAUGCUUAGAUAUCACGAAGAACUCCGAUUGCGAAGGCAGCUCACUGGACUGCAACUGACACUGAUGCUCGAAAGUGUGGGUAUCAAACAGGAUUAGAUACCCUGGUAGUCCACACAGUAAACGAUGAAUACUCGCUGUUUGCGAUAUACAGUAAGCGGCCAAGCGAAAGCAUUAAGUAUUCCACCUGGGGAGUACGCCGGCAACGGUGAAACUCAAAGGAAUUGACGGGGGCCCGCACAAGCGGAGGAACAUGUGGUUUAAUUCGAUGAUACGCGAGGAACCUUACCCGGGCUUAAAUUGCAUUUGAAUAAUCAAGAAAUUGGUUAGUCGUAAGACAAAUGUGAAGGUGCUGCAUGGUUGUCGUCAGCUCGUGCCGUGAGGUGUCGGCUUAAGUGCCAUAACGAGCGCAACCCUUAUCUUCAGUUACUAACAGGUUAUGCUGAGGACUCUGGAGAGACUGCCGUCGUAAGAUGUGAGGAAGGUGGGGAUGACGUCAAAUCAGCACGGCCCUUACGUCCGGGGCUACACACGUGUUACAAUGGGGGGUACAGAAGGCCGCUACCUGGUGACAGGAUGCUAAUCCCAAAAGCCUCUCUCAGUUCGAAUCGAAGUCUGCAACCCGACUUCGUGAAGCUGGAUUCGCUAGUAAUCGCGCAUCAGCCAUGGCGCGGUGAAUACGUUCCC
rnacentral:rRNA from 1 species